rnacentral:lncRNA from 1 species
GAACCACGAAACUAAGGUCAAGGAUCUGAAUCAUGGCAGGCAGAAGUGUACAACUUACAAUUCCAUACAGCAAGUAAAGUUAACCUAUUUCUUAUAGUUUAAGAAAAUCAGAACAAAACUAAAAAACUAAAUACUGUGCAAUGAACAGUGAAAAUGAGGUCAAGGCCAAAUAAAACCUGCCAGACUGACAUGCACAUCAUUAAAUAUUUCCAUACACCAA